rnacentral:tRNA from 1 species
AGAACGAUGGCUUAGUGGCUAAGCCGUUUGAAUUUCAAUUAAUAUGUCUGAGGUUCAAACCCUAGUCCAUUUA